GUUAGUACCUCAGCAGAAUUCUGCAUGGAAGUGAGAGUUUGCCAGGUGAAAAGGAGGAGACAAAGAUUUUCCAUUAGAAGAAGCUACAGAAAGUACAGCUUGCCUGGGCUAGGGCAAAUCAUUCAGUACAGUGCAAAUGCAAGAAACUGGGACACAGUAUUGAAAUGACAUACAGAAUGGAUUAAAGAGAAAAAGACAAAGGAAAAGGUUAAAGUUUUCCCCAAAGCACCUGUAUCUUGAAUCUCACAGUCAAAACUAAGGAGAAUCACAGUGAUAUGGAAGGAAUAACGUUAAUACUCUGAAGAGUAUGGCUGGUGGUGAGAAAGCUUCAUUAAAAGGGGGAAGAAGAGAACAUCAGCAGUCAGGCUUCCAAAGAAACUGACAACCUGGAUCCCAGCAGUUGGUUUUAUUAUCCCCCCAGAGAAUGUGAGCAGUUGAAGUUCCUC
ensembl:lncRNA